GACGUAGGGCGCGAGCGUUGUCCGGAUUUAUUGGGCGUAAAGAGCUCGUAGGCGGCUUGUUGCGUCGGCUGUGAAAACCCGCGGCUUAACCGCGGGCCUGCAGCCGAUACGGGCAGGCUAGAGUUCGGUAGGGGAGACUGGAAUUCCUGGUGUAGCGGUGAAAUGCGCAGAUAUCGGGAAGAACACCCGUGGCGAAGGCGGCUCUCUGGGACGGUACUGACGCUGAGACGCGAAAGCGUGGGGAGCGAACAGG
rnacentral:rRNA from 1 species